rnacentral:tRNA from 1 species
GGUUCUGUAGUGUAACUAACAUCUUUGAUUGCAAAUUUUAGGAUGCGGAAAGUAAGGUUCCGCCAGAACUU